UAAUGGACCUCAGAGAAAACAAGGAGA
rnacentral:piRNA from 1 species